rnacentral:rRNA from 1 species
GUGGGGGAUAUUGCACAAUGGGGGAAACCCUGAUGCAGCGACGUCGCGUGUGGGAUGAAGUAUUUCGGUAUGUAAACCACUUUUGCGGGGGGCGAAAAAAAUGACGGUACCCCGCGAAUAAGCCCCGGCUAACUACGUGCCAGCAGCCGCGGUAAUACGUAGGGGGCGAGCGUUGCUCGGAUUGACUGGGCGUAAAGCGCGCGUAGGCGGUCCAUUAAGUGUGCGGUGAAAUUCGGAGGCUCAACCUCCGUCCCGCCGCGCAAACUGAUGGUCGUGAGAUGGGGAGGGGGAUGCGGAAUUCCUGGUGUAGCGGUGAAAUGCAUUGAUAUCAGGAGGAACACCAGCGGCGAAAGCGGCAUCCUGGCUUAUAUCUGACGCUGAGGCGCGAAAGCGUGGGUAGCAAACGGGAUUAGAUACCCUAGUAGUCC